UGGGCAACCUGCCCCUCUCUCUGGGAUAACCCCGGGAAACCGGAGCUAAUACCGGAUACUCCGGCUGGAUCGCAUGGUCCGGCCGGGAAAGGUCCGCCGGAGAGGGAUGGGCCCGCGGCCUAUCAGCUUAUUGGUGGGGUCAUGGCUCACCAAGGCGACGACGGGUAGCUGGUCUGAGAGGACGACCAGCCACACUGGAACUGAGAUACGGUCCAGACUCCUACGGGAGCA
rnacentral:rRNA from 1 species